AUAAAAUGAGUAAAAAGUGCAAAAUGUUCUUUCUAUUACUUUAUUUCAAUUUUCUUUUCACUGACAGUUGAGAAAAAGAUAUAUUAGAGAUACAAUCUUGAGAAAAUUAGCCUACAGUAUACAUG